rnacentral:rRNA from 1 species
UGAGGAAUAUUGGUCAAUGAACGCAAGUCUGAACCAGCCAAGUAGCGUGCAGGAUGACGGCCCUAUGGGUUGUAAACUGCUUUUAUAUGGGGAUAAAGUGGGGAACGUGUUCCCUUUUGCAGGUACCAUAUGAAUAAGGACCGGCUAAUUCCGUGCCAGCAGCCGCGGUAAUACGGAAGGUUCGGGCGUUAUCCGGAUUUAUUGGGUUUAAAGGGAGCGUAGGCCGUUUGGUAAGCGUGUUGUGAAAUGUAGGAGCUCAACUUCUAGAUUGCAGCGCGAACUGUCAGACUUGAGUGCGCACAACGUAGGCGGAAUUCAUGGUGUAGCGGUGAAAUGCUUAGAUAUCAUGAAGAACUCCGAUUGCGAAGGCAGCUUACGGGAGCGCAACUGACGCUGAAGCUCGAAGGUGCGGGUAUCGAACAGG